GCGGGUGUCGUAUAUUGGUAUUACCUUAGCCUUCCAAGCUAAUGAGGUGGGUUCGAUUCCCAUCACCCGCU
rnacentral:tRNA from 1 species